CGGUGAGGUGACUUGUCUAGUUAAUUCCGAUAACGGACGAGACCUCGACCUACUAAAUAGCCGACGUUUACAUCUGUAAGCGUUUGGCUUCUUAGAGGGACUUUGUGAGUCUAUCACAAGGAAGUUCGAGCCUAUAACA
rnacentral:rRNA from 1 species